rnacentral:lncRNA from 1 species
AGAAACACAAACUUGAAGAAAACAGCACCAGAAGCUGGUGGAGCAUGGCCUAUUAUUGGCCAUCUCCGCCUCUUAGGAGGGUCACAACCACCUCAUAUAAGCUUGGGUAACCUGGCAGACAAAUAUGGAGGAAUCUUCACCAUCAGGUUGGGUGUAAAUAGAGCUUUGGUGGUGAGCAAUUGGGAGAUAGCUAAAGAAUGUCUCACCAUAAACGAUAAAGCGUUUGCCAGUCGCCCAAAGCUUGCAAGCUCGGAAAUUUUGGGUUACAACUGUGCCAUGAUAGCCUUGGCACCGUAUGGACCUUAUUGGCGUCAAGUGCGCAAAUUCGCCACAAUUGAGCUCCUCUCAAAUCACCGACUCGAAUUGCUUAAACUUGUGCGGGAAUCCGAGGUGAAGGCAUCACUGCAACAAUUAUACCAGCUGUGGAACAAGAAGAAAAGUAGUAACUGUGGCAAAGUAAUGGUGGAGAUGAAGAGAUGGUUCAGAGAUGUUACUCUUAACGUGGUACUAAGGAUUGUUGUAGGGAAGCGAAUACCGAAUUCAUACGAAGGAGAUGAAACCGUGAAAUGGAAGAAGUCGUUGGACGACUUGUUUGAACUAAGUGGGAAGUUCUUAAUAUCAGAUGCGUUGCCUUAUCUGAGAUGGUUGGACAUAGGUGGAGAUGAGAAGUCUAUGAAGAAGGUAGCCAAAGAAUUGGACCAAGUUGUGGAGGAAUGGCUACGAGAGCACAAAGAAAAGAGAGCUGAAAAUGAGGCAAACAGUGGGGAAGAUUUCAUGGGAGUGAUGCUAUCUAUUCUUCGUGAUGCAGAGGAGCACGAUGCCGAUACCAUCAACAAAGCCGUCAGUCUCGUACGUGCAUUUCUUAAUCAAAUCCUAUAUUUGUUUGAUAUUUAUAUUCAUCAUUCACCUGAAUACCAAUUUCAAUCUGAUAUUAAUAGUUUUACUGUAAAUGAUUUAAUAGGGACUUACCUUAGCCGUGGAAGAUACCACAUCAAUUACAAUGACAUGGGCUUUAUCUUUAUUACUCAAUAAUCGCGAUGCAUUGAACAAGGUCAAACAAGAACUAGACAUUCAUGUUGGUAAAGAUAGACUCUUAGUUACAGAAUCAGAUACUAAAAACUUAGUGUACCUCCAAUCUGUCAUUAAAGAAACACUACGCCUCUAUCCUGCUGCUCCACUCGCUGUAAUCCAUGAAGCCAUUGAAGAUUGCUCAGUUUAUGGAUACGAUAUUUCAACUGGCACUUGGCUUAUUCUUAAUCUUCAAAAGAUACAACGUGAUCCACAAAUAUGGGAAGAUCCUUUAAAAUUUCAACCAGAAAGAUUUAUGACUACCCAUAAAGAUAUUGAUGUAAAGGGACAUGACUUUGAACUUAUUCCAUUUAGCGGUGGUAGAAGAAUGUGCCCUGGAGUUUCAUUUGCGCUCAAGAUUCUGGAACUUACAUUAGCUAAUUUAUUGCACUGGUUCGAGAUUGAAACUCUAUCAAACGAAAUAGUUGAUAUGCGUGAAGGUCCAGGAGUGACCAGCCCUAAAGCAACUCCAUUGGAAGUUCAAAUAUCUCCUCGUCUUCCUACUUUUGUUUACCAAUCCCGCAAUUAAUUUCUAUUGUUUGUGUUAAGCCACAUGUUUAAGCUGCUGCCACUUAUCCAGUUUUCUGUUUUUGUUUGAAUAAUUCUCUUUGAUUUUAGGAGAUAGUUACCAGAUUUCUUGGCUUUUUUUUAGAUCUAAUCUCUAUUUUUAGUUAUGGAUACUAGUAUAUAAGUGUUGGAGUAUUCAAUAAUAAAGUGUAUUCAAGUCUUUAAGUUUCAUUCUAAUCUAGAGCUUUCUUCUCCUCUCUUCAAUAUUUUUUAGAAAAAUUACCAACAAAUUUAAUGUGUAAACACUAACAGUUUGUUUGAUUUUAGACGUAUAUUUAAUAAAUAAUCUCCUCGUCUUCCUACUUUUAUUUACCAAUCCAGCAAUUAACUACUAUUGUUUGUUGGAUUUUAGACAUAUGAAAUAUUAUAAAAUAUCAUCCAUAUCUAUGGAAUCAACUAAUAAACUAUAAUAUAAUUUAAACAAAAGUUUAAUCAAAAUUGAUUUACACACGAAAUCAAAAAUCAAUAUGAAUACUUCCAAAAUGACAAAUUUAUCCUGCAAUAUUAUCGACUACUUGUCAUCACAGAUUUGAUUUUGAUUAAAUUAAUGAAAUCUAUUACUCUAGAGAUCUAUGUCAUGGGUCUGUUUUUAAUUGAACCAUAUGAUCGGUUUUAGUGGAAAAUGAUAGAAUCAAUAAAAUAAAAUAAAGACGUGUUAAUAAUAAAAUUUAAUUGCAUUCCAUUAAAAAUAAUGGAUACCUGUUUAUUGUUCAAUAAAAAUGGUAUUGGACAAAUGGAAAUUGAACAUUUCCUCAUCAAACUUUAUAAGAUACUAAGGUACUGUAUGCUUAUCCAUACCACAUUAAUAAUAGCAAAAAUUUAACGGUGGUUGAAAGAUGAGUUAGAUUACAUUUCUCUUUCUUUCCACUAUUAUUGGUCUUGAUUAAAAUAAUUGUUAACUCCAUAAUAAUAGUAAUUAUUGGGUAUGAUAUGGUAACCCUGAUCAUGACCAUGGUUUCUUCUAUGUAUUAUUCUAUUCACUUUUGCAAUGGCGUCAAACAAGUGGAUAACUUUUAUAAUUUUUUAUUUACCAUUCAUUAUUUUGUACAACUACCAAAAAGUAUGAGAUUUAACCCGUGUAUUUUUUAAUAUCUUUUUCAUGGUAUUGUUACUGUAAAAAUAUAUUGCAUCGAUGCAUGAAAAGUUAAAAAAAAAAGUUCUAAUAUAUUAUUAUCAACUAUCCUUUGUCCACAAAAAUUUAAUUAAAAACUCAUCUUGAAUAUUACAUAAUUAUAUUCACUCAGAAAUUUAAAAUCUUGUAACCUUUAGUGCAUCUAAUUAUAACAAUCAACAUCUUAUGUUUACGAGAGCCAAGGCUGGUGUUUUUAAGACCAAAGUCUAUACGGUUCUUGCACACGAGGAAGUUGAUCCUGUGAAUGUGCAUGAGGUGAUGGAGCAUCCAUCUUGGCAGGAAGCUGUGAAGGAGGAAUUAGAUGCCCUUCUCAAGAAUGGUACUUGGUAUUCUAAUUUGUUAUUAUUUGUAUUCUAAUUUAGAAGGGUAAUUUUUUUAAUUUGUUAUUGUUUGUAUUCUAGCUUAAUAAUUGAGUAAUAUUAUAUAUUUAAUUUGAUGUAUUUAUUUAUAAAUAAAUUGUUGCAAUAUAUAAAAAAACAUAAAAUAUAUAUUCAUAAAUAUAAAACAAAUUCAAUUAAACAAUGAAAAUAUAAGAGAAUCUUAAAUGUAUUAAUUGGAAACAAUUUUUAUAAAAUAUUUUCAAGAAAAUUACCAAAUAACAGAAAAUAUUUUAUGCUGAUUUAUUUAAACACCAUAAAAAUUUAAUUUUUUUUAAAAAAUAAAUCAUUUUUCAAAAAUCAAUUUUUUUUGAAAAUCAUUUUCAAGAAAAUAAAUGGAGCCCAAGAUUGGAAUUAGUAUAACCUGUCGUCUUUCUUCACAUCGCAGUACUUCGUUGAUUUUCUUAUAUGGCUUCAAAAUUCCAAUAUCAGUAACGUAAGUUAGUGAAAGAUCAAUAUACGAUAAUUACGUCAACAACACAACAAUGCAUAUAUAUGCAUUGUCUGUAUCUUAGAUUGAAAGUAGAAAUUUGGCGAUGGAUUAUUCCCAUUCACUCACAGCAACUUCAGCUGUUGCAAUCAUUGCUUUUCCACUACUAUUUCUUUUCUCUUUUCUAUUGAUAUCAAGAAGAAACACAAACUCGAAGAAAACAGCACCAGAAGCUGGUGGAGCAUGGCCUAUUAUUGGUCAUCUACGCCUCUUAGGAGGGUCACAACCACCUCACAUAAGCUUGGCUAACAUGGCUGACAAAUAUGGAAGAAUCUUCAGUAUCAAGUUGGGUGUGCAUAGAGCUUUGGUGGUGAGCGAUUGGGAGAUUGCGAAAGAAUGUCUCACCGUAAAUGAUAAAGCGUUUGCCUCUCGUCC